AAAUGGAUAGCAGCCCCCACCCCAACACCCCACCUACCCAACCUCCACCCCCCAAAAUAUAAAAAAAAUUGGAAGAGAACUUUCUCCUCUAUGCUCUUACGCAGAAUAAAUACAUUCCACUAAAAUGAUGAAAUACUGUUAUAGCUUUGACCAUCGAUUUCACACUUCUCAUAGUAAAAGCCUACUUUCAGACGUUUGAUAAUAUAACCGUGGAGGCCAUACAAAGUUGAAGUCAAACCAGUCGGCACUUUUGCGGAAUGACGUGCGGCACAAAAGAACCGCAAGGAAGUCGAUUCCUCGUUCCGCAGUCAACCAACCAAUAGUAGAAGAAUCUCAUCUGAGAAACACGUUUAAUCUGAGAAACAUAGCAAACUCAACAUUCAGGCCCACCAAGCAGGACCUUUUUAAGACCCUCUCUGAUUAUGAAUGAACCCCCAAGUUUCCUGAUCAAAGUUCACUAUGAAUGAACCCUCAACUUUCCCGAUCAAAGUUCACAGUGGGCACAUCCAAUUUAUAAAAUCUGUUUGACGAAAUUAUGGACAACAUCCUUGCAAGCCACAUGGAUACANN
rnacentral:lncRNA from 1 species